CCCUCACGUGGCGCUAUCUGACUGAACUCCCCCAGGGCCGGAAGUCAGCAAGGGUAGGUUGGCUCUGGCGGGUGCGUGGGGG
rnacentral:SRP_RNA from 2 species